rnacentral:rRNA from 1 species
UACGUAGGGGGCAAGCGUUGUCCGGAAUCAUUGGGCGUAAAGCGCGCGUAGGCGGCCCGGUAAGUCCGCUGUAAAAGUCAAAGGCUCAACCUUUGAAUGUCGAUGGAUACUGCCGGGCUAGAGUCCGGAAGAGGCGAGUGGAAUUCCUGGUGUAGCGGUGGAAUGCGCAGAUAUCAGGAGGAACACCAAUAGCGAAGGCAGCUCGCUGGGACGGUACUGACGCUAAGGCGCGAAAGCGUGGGGAGCGAACAGG